rnacentral:piRNA from 1 species
UAUUGGUGCAAUGGACCAGGAUUCCACUAUA